GAUGAACGCUGGCGGCGUGCCUAAUACAUGCAAGUCGAGCGAACAGACGAGGAGCUUGCUCCUCUGACGUUAGCGGCGGACGGGUGAGUAACACGUGGAUAACCUACCUAUAAGACUGGGAUAACUUCGGGAAACCGGAGCUAAUACCGGAUAAUAUAUUGAACCGCAUGGUUCAAUAGUGAAAGACGGUUUUGCUGUCACUUCUAGAUGGAUCCGCGCCGCAUUAGCUAGUUGGUAAGUUAACGGCUUACCAAGGCAACGAUGCGUAGCCGACCUGAGAGGGUGAUCGGUCAAACUGGAACUGAGACACGGUCCAGACUCCUACGGGAGGCAGCAGUAGGGAAUCUUCCGCAAUGGGCGAAAGCCUGACGGAGCAACGCCGCGUGAGUGAUGAAGGUCUUCGGAUCGUAAAACUCUGUUAUUAGGGAAGAACAAAUGUGUAAGUAACUAUGCACGUCUUGACGGUACCUAAGCAGAAAGCCACGGCUAACUACGU
rnacentral:rRNA from 1 species